rnacentral:rRNA from 1 species
GGGGGGUGUUAAACCCCCCUUUUCAGGGGGGGGAAGAAUAAACUGCAGGGGAGGGAAAUGGCCCCUUGGCCGACGACGGUAUCCCCCAGAAGAAAGGGGACGGAUAACUCCUGUGCCAGCAGCCGCGGUAAAACAGAGGUCCCGAGCGUUACCCGGAUUCGCUGGGCGUAAAGUGCGCGUAGGCGGCCCUGUAUGUCGUCUGUGAAAGCUCCCGGCUCAACCGGGAGAGGCCGGGCGAAACUACAGGGCUGGAGCCUCGGAGGGGGAAGCGGAACCUGCUGGAGUAGCGGUGAAAUGCGCAGAUACCGGCAGGUACCUCAAUAGCGAAGGCAGCUUCCUGGCCGAGCGCUGACGCUGAGGCGCGAAAGCGUGGGGAGCGAACCGGAUUAGAUACCCGGGUAGUCCACGCCCUAAACGAUGCCCGCUAGGUGUCGGCCCUUUGAACGAUAGGGUCGGUGCCGCAGCCAACGCGGUAAGCGGGCCGCACUGGGGAGUACGGUCGCCAGGCUGAAACUCAAGGGGAUUGACGGGGGCCCACACCAAGCCGGUGGAGCAUCUUGGUUCAAUUCGAUGAUAAGCGAAGUACCUUACCCGGGCUUGACAUGCCGGCAGAAGCCUGCCCGAAAGGGCGGGGUGGAAGGGUCCUUCGGGGCCUGGAGGCCGGCACAGGUGCUGCAUGGUCUGUCAUCAGCUCGUGCCGUGGGGCGUCGGGUUAAGUCCCGCAACGAGACGCAACCCCUGCCCCUAGUUGCCAGCUCCUCGGGAGGGCUACUCUAGGGGGACCGCCGGCGACAAGCCGGAGGAAGGAGGGGAUGACGUCAAGUCCGUAUGGCCCUUAUGCCCGGGGCGACACAGAUGGUGACAGUGGGGGGUACAGUGGGAAGCGAAGCCGCAAGGCGGAGCCAAUCCCUAAAAGCCCCUCGAGGUUCGGAUUGGGGUCUGCAAUCAGGAC